UACGGGGGGGGCAAGCGUUGUUCGGAAUUACUGGGCGUAAAGGGUUUGUAGGUGGCUCGCUAAGUCAGACGUGAAAUCCCUCAGCUUAACUGGGGAACUGCGUCUGAAACUGAUGAGCUUGAGUGCAGGAGAGGAACGCGGAAUUCCAGGUGUAGCGGUGAAAUGCGUAGAUAUCCGGAAGAACACCGAUGGCGAAGGCAACCACCUGGGCCUGCACUGACGCUGAGGUACGAAAGCGUGGGGAGCAAACAGG
rnacentral:rRNA from 1 species